rnacentral:sRNA from 13 species
UUGAGGGCUGGAAGGUUUCGUCUGAGGAAAAAGUAAUCAUCAAGUGCCUGAAACCCGUUCGGCAAAGGAAAAUCAAGAGAGAGAUCAAGAUCCUGCAGAAUCUCAGGGGCGGUCCAAAUGUGAUCCAGUUGCUGGACACAGUGCGGGAC